UCAAUCUCAAGAUUCUUCCAUGGCAACAAUAUCUAAUUCAACUACUAUAUUACAUGACAACCCAAGCAUCCUAAUUGAACUCAUCCCACUAUCUUAAUACAAGACCACCUCUUACCUUGCCUCCUUUGAAUCUCCUCUAUGACCACCACCACCACCAUGCUCCAUCACCAAACUCCCUACCAUACUAACCAACCAACUAAUCCAUCAUAAUGUACCCAUCCCAUGACCAUCCGAUCUCAA
rnacentral:lncRNA from 1 species